GUACACUCCUGCGGGAGGCAGCAGUGGGGAAUUUUGGACAAUGGGCGAAAGCCUGAUCCAGCAAUGCCGCGUGAGUGAAGAAGGCCUUCGGGUUGUAAAGCUCUUUUGUCAGGGAAGAAACGGUGAAAGCUAAUAUCUUUUGCUAAUGACGGUACCUGAAGAAUAAGCACCGGCUAACUACGUGCCAGCAGCCGCGGUAAUACGUAGGGUGCAAGCGUUAAUCGGAAUUACUGGGCGUAAAGCGUGCGCAGGCGGUUUUGUAAGUCUGAUGUGAAAUCCCCGGGCUCAACCUGGGAAUUGCAUUGGAGACUGCAAAGCUAGAAUCUGGCAGAGGGGGGUAGAAUUCCACGUGUAGCAGUGAAAUGCGUAGAUAUGUGGAGGAACACCGAUGGCGAAGGCAGCCCCCUGGGUCAAGAUUGACGCUCAUGCACGAAAGCGUGGGGAGCAAACAGGAUUAGAUACCCUAGUAGUCCCA
rnacentral:rRNA from 1 species